CUUUCUUUGCUGGCGACCGGCGCACGAGUGAGUAACACGUAUCCAACCUGCCCUUUACUCGGGGAUAGCCUUUCGAAAGAAAGAUUAAUACCCGAUAGCAUAAUGAUUCCGCAUGGUUUCAUUAUUAAAGGAUUCCGGUAAAGGAUGGGGAUGCGUUCCAUUAGGUUGUUGGUGGGGUAACGGCCCACCAAGCCUUCGAUGGAUAGGGGUUCUGAGAGGAAGGUCCCCCACAUUGGAACUGAGACACGGUCCAA
rnacentral:rRNA from 1 species